GGAUAUUUUUAUUGUUGAUUCCUAUGUUGUCCCAACAUGGCUGCCUCCCACAAGCUGUGACCCAAUGGCCUCCUUACCUAGGGAUUCUGGUACCAAGGACAUACUUUUCAUUCCCAUCUGGAUUCCUGGGCAUUUUGUACUUUGUGUUUUGAAGCCGACACAGAGAGAGAUAUUUUUCCUUGACUCCAUGUACCAUAAAAAAAUUUGGAUUUUCUGCUGUCC